rnacentral:rRNA from 1 species
UGGAGAGUUUGAUCCUGGCUCAGGACGAACGCUGGCGGCGUGCUUAACACAUGCAAGUCGAACGAGAUCCAUGCAGUAGCAAUACUGCGGAAGAUCUAGUGGCGAACGGGUGCGUAACACGUGAGGAACUUGUCCCGGUCUCUGGGAUAACAGUUGGAAACGACUGCUAAUACCGGAUGACGUCGGAGCAUCGCAUGGUGCGCUGACGAAAGGGU